UCGCGAAUCAUUCACAAUGGACGCAAGUCUGAUGAUGCCACGCCGCGUGUAGGAAGAAGGCUCUAGGGUUGUAAACUACUGUCAGGAGAGGGGAACCGCAUGCAUCGAAGAUGUGCAUGUCUGACUGCUUUCCAGAGGAAGCCCCGGCUAAACACGUGCCAGCAGCCGCGGUAAUACGUGUGGGGCAAGCGUUGUUCGGAAUUACUGGGCUUAAAGGGUGCGUAGGUGGCCUUGCAAGUCAGUGGUGAAAUCCCACGGCCCAACCGUGGAAUUGCCAUUGAUACUGCUUGGCUCGAGUGCGUGAGGGGUGAACGGAACGUGUGGUGUAGCGGUGAAAUGCGUAGAUAUCACACGGAAGGCCAGAGGCGAAGGCGGUUCACUGGCACGCAACUGACGCUGAGGCACGAAAGCGUGGGGAGCAAACAGGAUUAGAUACCCGCGUAGUCC
rnacentral:rRNA from 1 species